AUUGAACGCUGCGCGGAACGCUUUACACAUGCAAGUCGAACGGUAACGUGGGGAGGAGCUUGCUCCACCCCGACGACGAGUGGCGAACGGGUGAGUAAUACAUCGGAACGUGUCCGCUCGUGGGGGACAACCAGCCGAAAGGUUGGCUAAUACCGCAUGAGUUCUACGGAAGAAAGAGGGGGACCCGCAAGGGCCUCUCGCGAGCGGAGCGGCCGAUGACUGAUUAGCCUGUUGGUGAGGUAACGGCUCACCAAAGCAACGAUCAGUAGCUGGUCUGAGAGGACGAUCAGCCACACUGGGACUGAGACACGGCCCAGACUCCUACGGGAGGCAGCAGUGGGGAAUUUUGGACAAUGGGCGAAAGCCUGAUCCAGCAAUGCCGCGUGCAGGAUGAAGGCCUUCGGGUUGUAAACUGCUUUUGUACGGAACGAAAAGCUUCGGGUUAAUACCCUGGAGUCAUGACGGUACCGUAAGAAUAAGCACCGGCUAACUACGUGCCAGCAGCCGCGGUAAUACGUAGGGUGCAAGCGUUAAUCGGAAUUACUGGGCGUAAAGCGUGCGCAGGCGGUUUUGUAAGACAGAGGUGAAAUCCCCGGGCUUAACUCGGGAAUGGCAUAUGUGACUGCUCGACUAGAGUGUGUCAGAGGGAGGUGGAAUUCCACGUGUAGCAGUGAAAUGCGUAGAUAUGUGGAAGAACACCGAUGGCGAAGGCAGCCUCCUGGGACAUAACUGACGCUCAGGCACGAAAGCGUGGGGAGCAAACAGG
rnacentral:rRNA from 1 species